rnacentral:rRNA from 1 species
UACGGAGGAUGCAAGCGUUAUCCGGAAUCACUGGGCGUAAAGCGUCUGUAGGUGGUCAAAUAAGUCAACUGUUAAAUCUUGAGGCUCAACCUCAAAAUCGCAGUCGAAACUAUUAGACUAGAGUAUAGUAGGGGUAAAGGGAAUUUCCAGUGGAGCGGUGAAAUGCGUAGAGAUUGGAAAGAACACCGAUGGCGAAGGCGCUUUACUGGGCUAUUACUAACACUCAGAGACGAAAGCUAGGGUAGCAAAUGGG